rnacentral:rRNA from 1 species
AACGAACGCUGGCGGCGUGCUUAACACAUGCAUGUCGAACGCGAAAGGGGCUUCGGUCCUGAGUAGAGUGGCGCACGGGUGAGUAACGCGUAGAUAACCUGUCCUGGUGUCUGGAAUAAUAUCUCGAAAGGGGUGCUAAUACCGGAUAUUCUUGCUUUCUAUAAGGUAUGCAAGGAAAGGUGGCCUCUGGAACAAGCUACUGCACGAGGAGGGGUCUGCGUACCAUUAGCUAGUAGGUGGGGUAAUGGCCUACCUAGGCGACGAUGGUUAGCGGGUCUGAGAGGAUGAUCCGCCACACUGGUACUGGAACACGGACCAGACUCCUACGGGAGGCAGCAGUGAGGAAUAUUGCGCAAUGGGGGCAACCCUGACGCAGCGACGCCGCGUGAGUGAGGAAGGCCUUCGGGUCGUAAAGCUCUGUCAAAGGGGAAGAAGUGCAUGGUGGUUAAUAUCUGUCAUGUUUGACGGUACCCUUAAAGGAAGCACCGGCUAACUCCGUGCCAGCCGCCGCCGUAA